rnacentral:rRNA from 1 species
UACGUAGGUGGCAAGCGUUGUCCGGAAUUAUUGGGCGUAAAGCGCGCGCAGGCGGUCCUUUAAGUCUGAUGUGAAAGCCCACGGCUCAACCGUGGAGGGUCAUCGGAAACUGGGGGACUUGAGUACAGAAGAGGAAAGCGGAAUUCCACGUGUAGCGGUGAAAUGCGUAGAGAUGUGGAGGAACACCAGUGGCGAAGGCGGCUUUCUGGUCUGUAACUGACGCUGAGGCGCGAAAGCGUGGGGAGCAAACAGG